GUGCAGUGAAAAGCUGAAGCGCCCCCCUCCCCAGCCUCCCCCAUGGUGGGGUUUGGGGCCAACCGUAGGGGGGGCCGUCUCCCUUCAUUCCUCUUUGUUGCCUUGCUGCUAGUCAUUGCUGUCCUUGCCUUCAAUUACUGGACUACCUCAUCCCGCCAAACGGUCCUGCAGGAGGAGGUGGCAGAGUUGCAGGGCCAGGCCAAGCGCAGUGAUGUUGCCCGGGGGCGCUUGGAGAAGAGGAACUCUGAGCUUUUGCUCCAGGGGGAGCUGCACAAGAAACAGCUGGAGCAGAAGGAAGCUGAGCACAGCCAGCUGAGCAACCAACUGCAAACCAGGGAAGGCCAGAUAAGGAAGUGUGAAGAGAGCAGGAUUAAGCUUCAGAACAACAUAUCAUACCAAAUGGCAGACAUACAUCGCUUAAAGGAACAACUUGCAGAGUUGCGUCAAGAAUUUAUUCGUCAAGAGGACCAGCUUCAUGAAUAUAGGAACAACAAUACACAACUUCUGAAAAGGUUGGAGUAUGAAAGUUUUCAGUGUGGACAUCAGAUCAAAGAACUGAGGAUGCAGCAUGAAGAAAAUAUGAGAAAGUUAGAGGACCAAGUUACACAAGACCAAAAGCAGGCGGCACACAGAAGCCAGUCCAGUAAGGAUAUUGAGAGCAACCUGAGCAAUAAUCCAACAAUAUUGAAGACAACGCAACAAUUGGAUGAAAAGAAUGUAAUUAGGAAUGAAACACCUUCCAUCAACAAUAUCUCAGAUGGCAAAGAGAAAAUUAAACCAGGAGAUGAUGCAGGCAUGCCUGGGAUAGAAGAGAAUGACCCUGCUAAAGCUGAAGAUACACUCACAGCUUUGAAGAAGCCACUUGUUUCAGCUUCUCAGAAUGAACCUCAACCCAAUGGAAAUCUUCCAACAGAAAAGCCCCAUGCUCCAAAUCUGGCUCAAGGUGUAAACAGUAACCAGGAUGGAAAUGCUGACAUGAUAAGGCAGAUCCCACCAAAUCCUCUUCAGCAUUUGAUUCCUGAUCAUGUCCUAGAUAAUCAGAAAGCUGAAAAAGAACAUUUAAAAAAGGACAGAAUCAGUGACUUCCAAAGAAUGAAGCAAAGCCGGUUCUUUGAUGAGAAUGAGUCCCCUGUUGAUCCGCAACAUGGCUCUAAACUGGCGGAUUAUAAUGGGGAUGAUGGGAACGUGGGUGAGUAUGAGGCAGACAAGCAGGCUGAGCUGGCCUACAAUGAGGAAGAGGAUGGUGAUGGUGGUGAAGAAGACGUCCAAGGAUAAGAUGUUAUCAUUUUCCAAAGCUUCAUUCUUGACACUGGUGUUCUAGUCUUCUAGAUGAUGAGGAGAGAGAGCUUCAAAUGGAUCUUGCAGACUACAGAAAACCACACUUCAACGAUGUACUUUAAAUUCCAAAUUACCUUUAUCUGAGGAAUUCUGCAAGUGGGGAAAAAAUGCAACCAUUUUUUCAGUAUUUACUGUAAGAGACACUGAAAAGAAUGACAGCAAAAAGUUAACAGUGGAAGGAGAAGGUAAAAUGCUGUGUAUAUGUAUAUAGUUGUACUUAUUUCGCAAAUGAACAGAACCAGAGAUGGUUUGUUCUUUUAGGAGAUGCUUAAUAACCUGAAACUACGCAAAGUUGGGUGCACCUGGCUCUUUAUUGGACUGGGCAGUAAGACUGUUCCUUACCUGUAACCUUUGAAAUAAUAGCUAACAUUGCAAAAUAACUUAGGUCAACAUGUUUCUGAAACUAAGCCACUUUGUAAACUGGAGAACUUUGUACAGUUUGUAUCUUAUAUAUGAAUUACUUCAUUGCAGGAAUAACUGUACAGAUGGGACACUCUUUGAUACCACAAUGUAUUUAACCCAUGCAAGCAAAUUAUUCAUUUCUCUUACUGUUGUGAUUUGCAUUUUAGAGACUACAUUUCAUUUUGAGAAAGUUGACUGAAAAUGUGUUUGUGUUUUAUGAAAGAACUUUCCUUACUAUAACUAAGGAAGGUCUGUGUGAUACAUACUACAUUAAUUCUAUAUGAGACAAUAUUGUUAACUCUAGGAGUGACUAAAGUUAUCCAUAGUAAAAAUGCAGCAACAGUGUAGUAAUUUUAUAGGAUAAUUACCAGAGUUUAAAUCUGCAAAACCUACAAACAGUAUUUCCAACACAUAAAAGCUAUAAAUAUUUUAUUUGCCUUUGUUUUUACAGCAGUGAUUUCAGUCUUAUGCAAUAAUAGCCGAAUGUAAUGGAGAGUGGCUAAAAGUGCAAUCUCAUCAGUUUCUUCAUUCAUUCCUGUCUGAACCUCUGAUGUGUUUGAGAACUGGGAGUCAUGCUCAGUUUGUUUCAACUUCAGUGCUGUAGUAUGGAUUACUCAAAACGCUGGGCAUGUUCUAUGUUUUUGCGGUUUUGUACUGUGUUUUUGUGUAAGAGGUCUUAUUUUGGUUUUUUUGUUUGUUUUGAUGUUUAAGCACUUUCUGAAGUUCACAGAAAUGGUUAUGCCCAUCUAUAUCCUGAGCAACAAAUUAUUAACCCUAGUUAUCAACAAGGGCUACUGUGAAUAAAGAAUUUAGGUCCUAUGACAGGGUUGAUUGUACUUCAUGAUUUCUGCUGUACUCAGGUUAUUGGUCUCUUUGGUAAGUUAAAGUUAAUUUGCAGUAAUUUAAUUAACAAUUUGCAUUGAAUAAAAAGGAGAGAUCUGUUUAAGACUUCCCUUAGAACAGUGUUUGUUUCUGACAACAAAAAUGGAAGUUUGUGCUUGGGCACUUCUCAAACACACAAACCUGGACACAUGUUUGUCUUAGUUUUAUUUUAAAGCUGUAAAACUUACAAGGCUGAACCUGCCUUAGAGGUAGUUUCUCUCCCCCUCUCCCUGCCACCAUUCCUAACACCCCUUUCUCCAUAAGUCUUCAGUGUUGUACUUUGUGAAUUGACCAAAAUGUGUCUGCCCCAAAUUAGGUGUAAUUUUAUUAGGAUUUUGCUGUUGAAAUCCAAAAUUUAAUAGGUUCUAAUAAAACUUAAUGCAGUUUUA